UGAGGAAACUGAUGCCUAGAGAGCUCAAGCAAUUGGCCUUAUAACAGUAAAAGGGUAAUGAAAUAAUAAAAGUAAAGAGAAUUCUAGAAUUGAUGGGCUUCACAAGGACUGCUUUCCAACGUUUUGCUGAUGGCCUCAGACCUGGAAGAAUUAUAUGAACAAAGGCGUGUGUACAAUGCCGGCCAGUAGUCCAGUCUGAUAGGAAUGGAAAGUACAUGAACAGGAAUAAUAUGAGAGAAGACUGGAAAGUCAGGUAUGGAUUAGAAUGGAUAGCCACCGAGAUCUGUUCCAACUCUGAAAUUCUUUGAUGCUACUAUCAAAACACAGUAGAUUUUUCAUCUAUUAGGAAAAAAGGUAAAACAUUUUAUGCAUGAUAUGGUUUUGGAUUUUUUCUUGGCUUCCAGAAAAUGAUACUUG
rnacentral:lncRNA from 1 species